AGGGUGGAAAAUGGGAUUUUUUUAUUGAUUUCUAUUAAUUAAUCCUCAUCAGAGAUAAGAAAUAACAGCUUUAUUUGGCAUUGGAGACAGCAAAUAAUAACUCCUAAACAGCAGCUCAGCAGGACACACAAACAUCUCCAACCAUGGGACAAUUCCCUGGAAAAUUGGCUCAUUUUGAUUUUAUUUUUAACCAGGAUCUUCCAAAUUAUCAAAUUUCCAUGGAUAAAGCCCACAAAAGCGAUGGAACUGGGAUAUUCCUCAAGGAUAAAGGGAUUUAGAGUGUCAGGAAAAGUCCUUGGAAGGAGAGGAAUGGUUUUUUAAGUGCCUGGAGGAAAAACCAGUAGGAAACAAACCAGGAUCCUUUAUUUUUCCACAAAACAACCCCUGCCUUACAAGCACGGCUGUAAUUGUAUCUUGAACAUGCAGUGCAAACAAAAACUCGUUAACACCUGCACUAAUGAAUCCCAGGAAGGCUCUGGAGUAUUCCAGCUGCACUUGGAAAGACACGGAUCCUGCUCCUCGUUGAUUUGUGUCACACAACCAGGACAAACCCUCUGGAUCACACAGGGACUCCUCAUCCACCCAGAGAUCCAAGAGGAGAAACGAUCUCCCAGCUUAAGGAAACUCCUCAAAAGGAACAAAGAUUUUCCAUCCUCUGGAAUAACUGGGAUGAGGAAUUACUUCACAAAGACACAAACGGGCAGAAUUCAAAGGGAAAAUAAAGAAGCUCCUUUGUGUGUCCAGAUGUUUCUGCAGCUGCAGAGUCCUAGGAGAUGCUCCUUGUCCUGCUAAAGAGGACAAGGAAUUCAGGACAAAAACCUGGAUCCAGGGAAGAGCUGGUGCUGUGCCUGCUGCCCAUGUUUUAUUGUUAGGAGUGGAGCUGGCCUGGAUUUCUCCUGCUCCUCAUGGCAGCUCCCAGAGGUCUCCCA